AUUCUUUACAAAAAAAAAGAAAAAAAAAACAAGAGAAGGCAUGAAAAAUACAUGUUUUUUUAUUAAACAUUUUGUGUGUAUGUAAAUUUUUUUAUUUUUUGGUUCAUUCAUUUGGUAAAAAAGUGAAGCAAGCUGAAGAAAAUAGAAAUACAAAAGGAAACGCAAAGUGAAGAAGAAAUACAACUCACAUAUACAUGACUGCAUAGACAUACAAACACACAUUAAAAUGAAAUAGUGCUUGUUAGUGUGCGGUAAUGUUAAGAGUGUCAGUGAGUGAGUGAGUUAGUGUCUUCUGAAACGGUGUUUCAAAUCUUUGUGUGUAUGAAAGUUGGAGAUAAUGAUGAUAGGUUUGUGUAAGUGUAUGUGUGUGUGAUGGCAUUUGAACUGUAAAACUAGAGGCAAGAAAAUUUGGAUGAAGAAAAAAAUCAAGUACUAGAAAAAUGUAAAAUCCAACACACAAAUAAGAUAAUAAUGACUAUGAAUAUGACGAUGUUGGUUGUGAUGAUAAUGAUGAAUAAUCUCAUAAUGAUGAUGGUAAUGAUGACAACAGCGACAACGACUGCUGCGACGACGACGACAACAACGACGAAGAAGAAGACAAUGCUGCAUACAUUAAAUUAAAAUUUCACCAUAAAAACGGAAGUUAUAAAACCAUAAUUCAUGUCAUAACACAAAUGUAUAAAACGAAUAAUUACAAAAAAGUCAUGGCUUAAGAGAAGUAAUGUUAAUGCUAAUCUAAAAGAAGAAUAAUUCAAAUAAAAUACAUCAGAAUAAUUUAAAUUACAAGCCAGUAGAUAAAAGUUUUAAUUUAAGUUUAUGUUGCAAUAAAAUAACCAAAAUGUUUCAGAAAACUCAAAGAGUUCGCAUAAAAUAUAAAAGCAAGUUUAUUGAAACUUUAAGGCAUCAUCAACAUCACAGUCAGCUACACCAGCAUAAAUCAAAUUUGAACAGCAGCAAGUGUAUUAAUUGCUAAAAUUGUGCAACGAAAACAAUGAAUUUUUUGGAGCAUGAACAAUUGUUGGAAUUGAAUGAACUAUAUGGGGAAAUUCAACAGAAGUCAUAAA